rnacentral:rRNA from 1 species
AUUGAACGCUGGCGGCAGGCUUAACACAUGCAAGUCGAGCGGAGUGAUGGUGCUUGCACUAUCACUUAGCGGCGGACGGGUGAGUAAUGCUUAGGAAUCUGCCUAUUAGUGGGGGACAACAUCUCGAAAGGGAUGCUAAUACCGCAUACGUCCUACGGGAGAAAGCAGGGGAUCACUUGUGACCUUGCGCUAAUAGAUGAGCCUAAGUCGGAUUAGCUAGUUGGUGGGGUAAAGGCCUACCAAGGCGACGAUCUGUAGCGGGUCCGAGAGGAUGAUCCGCCACACUGGGACUGGGACACGGCCCAGACUCCUACGGGAGGCAGCAGUGGGGAAUAUUGGACAAUGGGGGAAACCCUGAUCCAGCCAUGCCGCGUGUGUGAAGAAGGCCUUAUGGUUGUAAAGCACUUUAAGCGAGGAGGAGGCUCUUUUGGUUAAUACCCAAGAUGAGUGGACGUUACUCGCAGAAUAAGCACCGGCUAACUCUGUGCCAGCCGCCGCCGUAAUAC